rnacentral:rRNA from 1 species
CAGUCGCCGCGGUAAUACGAAGGGUGCAAGCGUUAAUCGGAAUUACUGGGCGUAAAGCGUGCGUAGGCGAUUUGUUAAGUCUGUUGUGAAAUCCCCGGGCUCAACCUGGGAAUGGCAAUGGAUACUGGCAAGCUAGAGUGUGUCAGAGGAUGGUGGAAUUCCCGGUGUAGCGGUGAAAUGCGCAGAGAUCGGGAGGAACAUCAGUGGCGAAGGCGGCCAUCUGGGACAACACUGACGCUGAGGCACGAAAGCGUGGGGAGCAAACAGGAUUAGAGACCCCAGUAGUCCCUGUCUCUUAUAA